GCUCUUCAUAGUCAAUGCUCCAGCUCUUUUGUUCCUCUUCAAACUUAGCCCAGCGUCCAGGAUACCUCUGCCUGUUUGUGGACUGAACUUCCGUGUACCGUACCCUGUUAUCCAUCUGCAGAUGAUGGAGGGAGGAGAUGUUCGCUCAUUAACCGAGCUCGAGGUUGAACCAGGAUCAGACGAAUUCAUCCGAGGGAAGAGAAAGAAAGAAAUGAUUGCUGAUGACAUGCUACCCGGAGCCACCGGUAUCGGUGGUUAACUAUUGAUGCACUCUUACAUAAAGUGGCUGACCUCCCCCACGGACCUCUUGAACAUGAUGCCGGUGUUACGCAGAAAAUCCAGUCGGUCCAAACACCAUGGUGCAUCUGAAUGAGAUACAUCCACCAACAGCUGAAAGGACUUCACUUCCAUCCGGUGUUCGAGCUAAUGACUGCACAAGCCACUGGGACAGGAGUCGUCCAUCAAAGGCGUCUUUAAAAGCAGACGCCAAUGC